rnacentral:rRNA from 1 species
UACAGAGGUCUCAAGCGUUGUUCGGAUUCAUUGGGCGUAAAGGGUGCGUAGGUGGCGCUGUAAGUCGGGUGUGAAAUUUCGGAGCUUAACUCCGAAACUGCAUUCGAUACUGCCAAGCUAGAGUAUCGGAGAGGUUGGUGGAAUUCUCGGUGUAGAGGUGAAAUUCGUAGAUAUCGAGAGGAACACCGGUGGCGAAGGCGGCCAACUGGACGAAUACUGACGCUGAGACUCGAAAGCGUGGGGGAGCAAACAGG